AAAAUCCAUCUACCUUACAAGAAAGCACAAGAACCAUCAGACACUAUUACAGGAAAUGAGGUCAACUCCUGCAAAGUGCUUCUGAACCACAUGAACGGAGCUUUGACAGACCCACAAUCAGAGAAUGGAGAGAAGGUGGGUCCAGUCUGUGACACUAGUGCAGAAGACGUGGAGCUCCAGUCCAAGACAAGAGAAGAUAUCCCUCUACACACAAGCAACGA